GACCUUUACCACACGAUAAUGCCACCUUGCAAGGGUCGAGUCUAAAUUGCAUUCAGUAAUGACCUUUACCACAUGACAAAAUUGCCAAUCGAUUGAUCGCGUUAAGCUUUUUUGGCAUUAUGGCAUUUUGCAGGACGCUCGUAUACGUCCACUCUCUCUCUUUUCUUCUGAUCGCCGAUCGAAACGGACAUCUCUCGCAGUGAUUAAAUCUUAAAACUUCAAAAAGUGAAUAUUAAAUAUUUGAAUUGUUUGUACUGCAACAAGAGAGACCCGAUUAACCCCAACUGGGAAAACCUUCAGCCGAUCCCACGAUCUGUGACGUGUAGAAAAGUGAAGUCAAGGAAUUUGGGAAUUCCCGGAAUUUUGCGAAUUCUAGGAAUCGGUGAAUUCGAGGAAACGGCUUCUGUCAACGGUAAGCCAGUGAACGGCUAAAGGCCUAGUGAUUUAAACUAGUGUUUUUACAAGGGCGGAAUUCCAAGAACGCCGGAGACGCCGAAUUUGAGGAGGGACUUCUCCAGACGCCUGGCGCGUCACAUCGUCGCCAUACUUAGGCGAUCGCAUACAAGCACAACGCUGCACACGCGUGAUCGUAUACACGCACAUAGCUGCACACGCGCGAUCGCACACGCACAUCGCUGCACGAGGGCGAAAGCACGCACAUCGCCGCGCGAACGCGAAGGCGCCAUCUUGCCUCUGCGCACACACGCGCAAACGCCUGCUGCGCACACACGCGCAAACGCCUUCGGCUCUCACGGACGCCGCAUACAGGCAAACGUCGACGACGAUCGACACGAUCGUUCGUGCCCGCCUGGAUCUCUAAUUGGAACUUUUUGUAUCGUAUACAUAAAUUUUAUUUUGCUACUUUAAACUCGUAAAACAUGUACUUAUAAACCUCUUCGACCCCGUUAUAGUUUUAUGGUGCAGCAGUAGAGGAUUAUAUAUUCGCCUUUUUCUUUCAUAAAACAGCAACCACAACAACACCGUCAACAGGCCUGCUGACUUCGUUGGAAUUGUCGUGAGUACGGCAUAGCCGUGUAAUCUCUUGUAUUUUCGUAUAUUUUUUGGCCAUAUAUAUAUAUAUAUUUCCUAUUGCUUGCAACCCUUGAAUAAAUAUAUGAAGUAAAUGUGAGAAAUCCUUUAAAGUUAGGAACCCAUCUGAUUUUGAUACCUUUUCUUUUCUUUUCGAAUUUAUAAACACAUACACAUAUCGAUAGGUGAUAAGCUUUUCUUAAAUACUGUUAAUUAGAUUUAAGGUUAGGUUAAAAUUUCAACAUGUAUAUUAUCGCUUUUCUUUCGUUUUCUUUAUAAUUAUAUUAUAUUCAACAUGAUUUAACUUAGUAUUCUUGGAGGGCAAAGUUUUGGAAAUGUAGCAUAGCAGUUGAUAAAGGGGUGGAAUCUUCUCAGAUUCCACUGGUAGGGUGGGUAUAGAGGAGGCCAUCACCAUCUGGUCCUCCAACAUCGAUGGAUACCUUUAUUUUUCGUCCGAUUCAUAGCCGUUUGGUGUAUGAUCAGUUUUGGCCUUUUGUUUAUCUCUGUCUACUAUUUAAUUCUGUAGCACCCCUGUUCUCUCUUAACACAAACCCACGCCACCUACCCUGAGCAGGCCGGACAAAAUGUAGACAGAGCGUGUUGGGAGUGAGCAGCACUUGCGUGUGUGUUCGUUACAGAAUUAAUGGCGCCCAAUCGUGAAGCCAGCGUAGCCUGAUUAGGUUCUAGUCGUUGGACUCCCUAGCUUCCCGAAAAUAGUAUUUCCAUCCAAUGUUUUGAGUCGUAGUUUCAGUUGAUAAAUAUAUUCUCGUCUCGGAUUUACUGGUAGUCUGGAUAGUUUCGGACCCAGUCCAGCAGAUAUAUUUAUCAUAUAAUUUUUCGUUUUACUAUCAGUUCGGAAGCCGAACAUUAUAGAAAACGAGCUCCACCUUAAGUAAAUUUUUCUUAGGAUUACUAGUUCUGGUGUUGAUCGGUUCUAGGCCAAGAGAAAUUGCUUAAGCCCACUAUCUUACCUAAGUGAAAUCGAGAUUUGCUCUUGCUGGAUAGUUUCGGCAAGUUCCUCUUUCACUGGGUGAGACAUCACACAAUUUUAUUUCCAUAGUAAAUCAGUUUCCACAUACAGUUUAUAUUAUCCAUCGAUGUUAAAUUCCUGCUUAUGCUGCUUUCCAAACAUAAGUCCCUCAAUUAUCGUCAGUUUUAUCGUUUACCGUUAGAUUUAUCGCUUAUCGUUUGACUUAUCGCUUACCGUCAGUUUUAUCGCUUACCGUCAAAUUUAUCGCUUAUCGUCAGAAUUAUCGCUUACCGUCAAAUUUAUCGCUUAUCGUCAGAAUUAUCGCUUAUCGUCAGACUUAUCGCUUACCGUUAGAUUUAUCGUUUAUCGCCUUUUUCAUUUGUAAGAAUCUUUUAGAAAGUUCUAGAAUAUUAGAAUGCCUUUAGUACGUAGUACAGAAAAUUUGGUCUCACUUGAAAGUGAGGAAGAGAUAGGGAUUUGUCUCAUUUGCAAUGUCACAAUUGCUUCAGCAGACCUGCACGAAACAGGCUGCAAACAUUCUUUUCAUGUAGCAUGUAUACAAAAUUGGCUACGAACCGAUUCCAAUUGUCCCACUUGUUCCAAAUCUAUUGGAUCUCAGAGCGAUCCAGGCGCGAGCUCGAACAGUCACAGAAUGACAACUAGAUCGAAUUCACGCGCGCUCAUGGCAAACGCUAAUGCAAAUCAACAGGACUCUCAGUCGAUUCCUCAACAACGAGCGGAUCAAGUGACUUCUCAGAACUCAUCAGACGUAGACGAAAGUCGAAUUCAGCAGUUAAUCUCUCGUGCAUUUGAGAGAUUUCAUGCACAACUUUCUAUGGACAUAACCAAUCAGAUCACUGAAGCUUUUCAGCAAUUAAAUGGAUCUACAAUGGGUGCAAAUAAUCAGCGUGUCGGCCAUCAGGUCCAAGGAAAUGGUUCAGCUCAUCCAAGCAACCCGGUUGGCUCGGAAGGAACUCCGACUAGUGGUCGAAGCGGCCGCAGCCCACACAGCGAUCUAUCAAUCGAUCGCCCAGACAAGAUCUCAAAUACAAUUUCGAAUUGGCGCAUCAAGUUCAGUGGCUCGCCAAGCGAUAUAACUAUCGAAGACUUUAUAUAUCGUGUAAAUUGUCUAACUCAACAAUCACUUGACGGAAACUUUAUCGUACUCUGCCAAUUCGCCAACUUGCUGUUUACAGGUUCUGCAUUGUCGUUUUAUUGGCGUGUUCACAAAUCUGUAGUGUCGUUGAACUGGUCAAUUCUAUGCAGACAUUUGAGAGAGCGUUAUCAGGAUCAGAGAUCUGACCGUGAAAUUAGGAAUAUUAUGCGUCGCCGAAAACAAGGACAUAACGAAAGCUUCGAUGAAUUCGUAGACGCCAUGCUUUUAAUUGCAGACUCUCUCCAAGAACCUAUGCAUGACGCAGACCUAACGGCGGAAGUUCGCCACAACCUCAAGCAAGAGUUAAAGCUCGAGUUGUUGCACCUUGAAACCCCAAUUUUGGCUUCUUUGCGUAAAGAAUGUUAUCGCCAUGAAGAAUUUUAUCGCAGUAAUCGCACAAAGACUGUGAAUCGUUUCAAUCCUCCCAAACGAGUAAACGCUAUCGAAUGUGAAAACAAUGAUGAAGAACACUCCGUCGAUGAUAACUCAACAGUUGACAAAGUCUGUGCCAUCAAGGUGGCAGAAAAGCUAACCUGCUGGAAUUGUGACGCCAAGGGUCACAGGUACCAUGAUUGUCGUAAACCUCGCCGCAUCUUCUGUUAUGGUUGCGGUACCCCAGAUACGUACAAACCCGACUGUGCCAAAUGCGCAUCAGCUUCGGAAAACUCCAAAGCGGAUGUCCGUCUAGUCUCGAAAAGGGACAUCCGACACUAACCACGAAUGCUCAAGAGCCGGUAAAGGUGUUGCAAUCAGCUGAUUCUUCAGUGUCACCACCAGUUACAUCGGACAUAUCACCUCCCAGACAUUUCAUGCUAAGGACAUCUGGUGAUUGCAUUUGGACCCUUUCUUCAGUUUCUAUUUUAAUCGCAGGGACUAAAAUAGAAUCUGUGGUUAUGAGGGUCGCGCCAAAAUAAUAUUCAGCAAUGACCUUUACCACACGAUAAUGCCACCUUGCAAGGGUCGAGUCUAAAUUGCAUUCAGUAAUGACCUUUACCACAUGACAAAAUUGCCAAUCGAUUGAUCGCGUUAAGCUUUUUUGGCAUUAUGGCAUUUUGCAGGACGCUCGUAUACGUCCACUCUCUCUCUUUUCUUCUGAUCGCCGAUCGAAACGGACAUCUCUCGCAGUGAUUAAAUCUUAAAACUUCAAAAAGUGAAUAUUAAAUAUUUGAAUUGUUUGUACUGCAACAAGAGAGACCCGAUUAACCCCAACUGGGAAAACCUUCAGCCGAUCCCACGAUCUGUGACGUGUAGAAAAGUGAAGUCAAGGAAUUUGGGAAUUCCCGGAAUUUUGCGAAUUCUAGGAAUCGGUGAAUUCGAGGAAACGGCUUCUGUCAACGGGCGGAAUUCCAAGAACGCCGGAGACGCCGAAUUUGAGGAGGGACUUCUCCAGACGCCUGGCGCGUCACAUCGUCGCCAUACUUAGGCGAUCGCAUACAAGCACAACGCUGCACACGCGUGAUCGUAUACACGCACAUAGCUGCACACGCGCGAUCGCACACGCACAUCGCUGCACGAGGGCGAAAGCACGCACAUCGCCGCGCGAACGCGAAGGCGCCAUCUUGCCUCUGCGCACACACGCGCAAACGCCUGCUGCGCACACACGCGCAAACGCCUUCGGCUCUCACGGACGCCGCAUACAGGCAAACGUCGACGACGAUCGACACGAUCGUUCGUGCCCGCCUGGAUCUCUAAUUGGAACUUUUUGUAUCGUAUACAUAAAUUUUAUUUUGCUACUUUAAACUCGUAAAACAUGUACUUAUAAACCUCUUCGACCCCGUUAUAGUUUUAUGGUGCAGCAGUAGAGGAUUAUAUAUUCGCCUUUUUCUUUCAUAAAACAGCAACCACAACAACACCGUCAACAGGCCUGCUGACUUCGUUGGAAUUGUCGUGAGUACGGCAUAGCCGUGUAAUCUCUUGUAUUUUCGUAUAUUUUUUGGCCAUAUAUAUAUAUAUAUUUCCUAUUGCUUGCAACCCUUGAAUAAAUAUAUGAAGUAAAUGUGAGAAAUCCUUUAAAGUUAGGAACCCAUCUGAUUUUGAUACCUUUUCUUUUCUUUUCGAAUUUAUAAACACAUACACAUAUCGAUAGGUGAUAAGCUUUUCUUAAAUACUGUUAAUUAGAUUUAAGGUUAGGUUAAAAUUUCAACAUGUAUAUUAUCGCUUUUCUUUCGUUUUCUUUAUAAUUAUAUUAUAUUCAACAUGA